rnacentral:tRNA from 1 species
GCCGGGAUGGUGUAAGGGCAGCCACGAUCGCCUCAAAAGCGAUUGCUCGAAAGGGCGUGCGGGUUCGAAUCCCGCUCCCGGCAC